CACCUCUAGCAUUUCCAGUAUUAGAGGCACUGCCUGCCCAGUGACAUCUGUUUAAACGGCCGCGGUAUCCUAACCGUGCAAAGGUAGCAUAAUCACUUGUUCCCUAAAUAGGGACUUGUAUGAAUGGCCACACGAGGGUUUUACUGUCUCUUACUUCCAAUCAGUGAAAUUGACCUUCCCGUGAAGAGGCGGGAAUGACUAAAUAAGACGAGAAGACCCUAUGGAGCUUUAAUUAACUGAUUCACAAAAAACAACACACAAACCUAACCUUCAGGAACAACAAAACUUUUGAUUGAAUCAGCAAUUUCGGUUGGGGUGACCUCGGAGAACAAAACAACCUCCGAGUGAUUUAAAUCCAGACUAACCAGUCAAAAUAUAUAAUCACUUAUUGAUCCAAACCAUUGAUCAACGGAACAAGUUACCCUAGGGAUAACAGCGCAAUCCUAUUCCAGAGUCCAUAUCGACAAUUAGGGUUUACGACCUCGAUGUUGGAUCAAGACAUCCUAAUGGUGCAACCGCUAUUAAGGGUUCGUUUGUUCAACGAUUAAAGUCUU
rnacentral:rRNA from 1 species